rnacentral:rRNA from 1 species
AUUGAACGCUGGCGGCAGGCUUAACACAUGCAAGUCGAGCGGAGAUGAGGUGCUUGCACCUUAUCUUAGCGGCGGACGGGUGAGUAAUGCUUAGGAAUCUGCCUAUUAGUGGGGGACAACAUUCCGAAAGGAAUGCUAAUACCGCAUACGCCCUACGGGGGAAAGCAGGGGAUCUUCGGACCUUGCGCUAAUAGAUGAGCCUAAGUCGGAUUAGCUAGUUGGUGGGGUAAAGGCCUACCAAGGCGACGAUCUGUAGCGGGUCUGAGAGGAUGAUCCGCCACACUGGGACUGAGACACGGCUCAGACUCCUACGGGAGGCAGCAGUGGGGAAUAUUGGACAAUGGGCGGAAGCCUGAUCCAGCCAUGCCGCGUGUGUGAAGAAGGCCUUUUGGUUGUAAAGCACUUUAAGCGAGGAGGAGGCUACCUGGAUUAAUACUCUAGGAUAGUGGACGUUACCCACAGAAUAAGCCCCGGCUAAAUUCGUGCCAGCAGCCGCCGUAACAC